rnacentral:rRNA from 1 species
UACAGAGGGUGCGAGCGUUUAAUCGGAAUUACUGGGCGUAAAGCGUGCGCAGACGGUCACGUAAGUCGGGUGUGAAAGCCCCGGGCUCAACCUGGGAAUUGCAUUCGAGACUGCGUGGCUAGGGUGCGGAAGAGGGAAGCGGAAUUUCCGGUGUAGCGGUGAAAUGCGUAGAUAUCGGAAGGAACACCAGUGGCGAAAGCGGCUUCCUGGUCCAGCACCGACGUCAGGCACGAAAGCGUGGGGAGCAAAC